GGUGCUGCCCGGUGACCCCUGCGACCCCGGCAGCAAACCUUACGUCGUCGUACAGGACACGAGGAAAAGGAAAGGGUUGAAGGAGGGUCUGCCCGAUCUAAAUCAAUACCUGGACAAGUUGUAAACGCCGUAGCUAAA